rnacentral:piRNA from 1 species
UGCUUGUAAGGUUUCAGGGUCUGUUAUG